AUUCUUUUACUAGUUUUAUGAUAAUGUGUCCUGGAGUAACUACUGAAAUACAUAGAAUGGGAAUUCUGAUCUCUGAAGUUCUUAGAAUUGGGUAGCAUCAAUUGCAAGUCCAUCUCCAUGUAACAGUGUGCUUCCUGGCUCUCACAGGCACAGGGCCUGCCUCUACAGCUUUAUUACUCUACUAGCAAUUUUCCUAGACUCGAUCGCCCUCAGCUACUUCCUUAGGAAUAGGGGAGACAUGAUAUAAUUUUGGACUCAAUAAUUGGCUGGAGGUCUUGGAGUUUCAUCACUUUCCAUUUCACAUGGGGACAAGAUAGGAAAGAACAUGAUUAGCUAUUAUAUUUUGAAUACCUGCAAUGUGUCAGGUUCUAUUGGAUGUAUUAAUUCAUUUCAUUCAGACCUCUCUAUAACACUCAAUGAUUUAAAAAGAAAAAGUGACAAGGAAAAAGUCAAAUUUCCAUUGGGAAAAAUGUAAGUGACAAAUGUAUGUGACAGAGCAUGGAUGCAAACCCACCUCAAACAGACUCCCAAGGCUCAUACUCUCUCCACUGUAGUAUCCAAUUUUCACUUGAAGUCUACUAACUGUCUAAUUUCUCAUCAGUGUUAAGGCCAGUGCUCAGUAGGGGGCAGGUUGGACCAGUGACCUGCAGAGAAUGCACCCUGUGUUUGAAUUUAAACCUACCUCCUCAGAGAAUUUCCUUUCAUGGUCUCACAACAGUGCCUGUCGACACUUCUAGCCAAAGUAUCAGCAUCUUUAGCACCACUGAGCCUCCUUCCACCACUGAUGAUGAUCAGGAGAUGAAGGUGGUUCCCUCUGGAGACUACAUCCUAGAGCUUUAUGAAGCAGUAACUCUUAUCAGUAGCUCAGGAGUAUAUAAAUAAAUCAAUCAAAGAGAAUCAAAGAACUUUUUGGUGAUUUUAAGUAGUUAGAUGAAGGAACAUGUUGAAAGCAAAUUCCCAGCCUUAAACAUCAACCCCAUCCUGACAAUUCCCCAGAUAAUAUCUCAUGAAAUAGAGAGAAAUCCUCCCCACUGAGCGCUGCCCAAAAUUUUAUGAGAAUAAAGGUGAAAAGACUGCUCUUGUUGGAAGCCAUUAUUUUUGUAACAGGAAAUAUAACUCCAAACCUAAAGGGUCUAAUACACUUCUGAAUCCCUCUGUACCACUCAGCUGUCAUUAAAAAAUGUGGACUUAGAAAUUAUUUUUAGAGGAUUUAUUACCAUUUCAAUGAUUAGUUUCUUGGAGACAGUUUCCUUGUUAUACAUUUGUUGAAUUAUCUGUGUCUUCUAACACAGUGACUUUCUAAGCAGUGGAUACUCGAUACAUAUUUCUUAGUUAAUUAAAUCAGACAUUAUAUGUUCUAUAAAAUAAAAUAAUUUCUUACUAUGCAACCUCUGCAAACAUAUGAUUUGGUACAGAGCAGAUAUAUUAUGACCCAUCUAGUUACUGGGGAUAUAAGAACACUGACAUUUAAGAUAGUAAAUUAUUUGCAUUAUAGAAAAUUCACAUAAUCACCAAUUCUUCAAUCCCCUGAAGUGGUUAUUUAAUGCUCCACUGCAAUUUGAUAUCCAAAUCUUGGAAUUUAUUUAAAAAGUCAAACCACAUUAGAGCCCUAUCACUCAACAUGGUUUUCUGAUUAAUGAGCUACAAAACAAAUGAAGCAAGUUUUCAGUUAAUGAGCUACAAAUAAACCUAUCUGUAAAUACUAAUUACCACUAAUCUCCCAAUUAGUUACACUUCAGGUUUAUUCUCUUUGUAUUUUCAUUAAUUUAUUUCCUUUACCCUAAUCAGUUAAGUUUCAUCUAAAGAUAAUUAUAAAGAUAUGAUUUCCAGAGGGGAAGUAUGGGGAACUCUAUAGACCUGCUUCCCUACAAAAGAGCCUUAACUGGUAUAAUCAUUUUAAAAACCUAGCAACUAUUUAAAGUAUUGGUGAAUUAUAUAAGGGCCUAUAGCAAACGAAGAAACAUUUAUUCAAAAACUAUAUAUGGUCAACUAAUCUUGACAAGUGUGCCAAGAAUAUGUGAUGGGGAAAGGAUUAUAUCUUCAAUAGAGGGUGCUUAGAAAAUUGUAUGACCCUUACAAAAACAAACAACAAACAAAAACAAUGAAAACUGAAUAUCCGCCUGCCAAAUAUUAGGUAAAAAUGUACUAAAGACUUAAGUGUAAUAUCAAAAAAAGCAGUAUAAGACAGAAAAUAAUUAAAAUAAGAGCUGAAAUCAAUGAAAUUGAAACAAAAGAAACAAUUGAAAAAAUUGACAGAACAGAAAGAUAGUUCUUUGAAAAAAUAAAUAAAAUUGACAGACCCUUAGCCAUGCUAAUGAAGAGAAGGAGAGAGAAAAUUCAAAUCACUAACAUACAUGAUGAAAAAGGAAAUAUCCCAACAGAGACUACAGAAAUAUAGAAGAUAAUUAGAAAGGAUUUUGAAAACUUGUACUACAAUAAAAUAGAAAAUAUUGAAGGUAUUGACAAAUUUCUAGAGUCAUAUAAUUUGCCCAAAUUGAAUCAGGAUGAUAUACAGAAUUUAAACAGAUCAAUUUCAUGUGACAAAAUAGCAGACACCAUCAAAAGUCUACAACCAAGAAAAGCCAGGACUGGAUGGAUACACAGCUGAGUUCUACAAGACCUUUAAAGAAGAACUAAUACCAAUACUACCCAAUUUAUUUCAGGAAAUAGAAAAAGAGGCAGCACUUACAAACUCAUUCUAUGAGGCCAAUAUCACUCUGAUUCCACUAUCAGGCAAAGACACAUAAAAAAAAAGAAAAGAAAACUUCAGACCAAUAUCUCUAAUGAACAUAGAUGCAAAAAUUCUCUAUAAAAUUCUGGCAAAUCGAAUACAAAAACAUAUCAAAAAGAUCGUGCUCCACAAUCAAGUGGGAUUCAUCCCAGGGAUGCAAGGUUGGUUCAAUAUAUAGAAAUCAAUAAAUGUAAUUCAUCACACCAAUAGACUUAAAGAUAAGAAUUAUAUGAUCAUCUCAAUAGAAAUGACAAUGAAAACUGAAUAUCCACCGGCCAAAUUUUUUGUUUGUUUGUUUUUGUAAGGGUCAUACAAUUUUCUAAGCACCCUCUAUUUAGGAAAAAGCAUUUGACAAAAUACAAAACCCCUUUAUGUUCAAAACACUGGAAAAACUAGGAAUAACAGGAAUAUAGCUCAACAUCAUAAAGGCUAUCUAUGCUAAGCCCCAGACCAACAUCAUUCUAAAUGGAGAAAAAUUGAAGGCAUUCCCUCUAAAAAUUGGAACAAGACAGGGAUGCUUUCUUGAGCCACUUCUGUUUAACAUGGUUCUUGAAACACUGGCCAGAGCAAUUAGACAGAAGAAAGAAAUUAAAGGGAUACACAUAGGAAAAGAAGAACUCAAAUUGGCACUAUUUGCCGAUGAUAUGAUUCUAUACCUAGAAGAUCCUAAAAGUUCCACCAGAAAACUUCUAGAACUAGUAGAUAAUAUCAGCAAAGUAGCUGAUCAAAGGCAUUUCUAUAUAUCAGUGACAAAUUCUAGAAAGGGGAACGAGGGAAACUACCUCAUUUACAGUAGCCUCAAAAAAAAAAAAUUAGGAAUCAACUUAGUGAAAUAGGUGAAACAUCUAUAUAAUGAAAAUUAUAGAACCCUAAAGAAAGAAAUCAAAGAAGACCUUAGAAGAUGGAAAGAUCUACCUUGCUCUUGGAUAGGCAGAAUUAAUAUUAUCAAAAUGACCAUACUUCCAAAAGCACUAUAUAGAUUCAAUGCAAUUCCGAUCAAAACCCCAAUGGAAUUCCUCAUAGAAAUAGAAAAAGCAAUCAUAAAAUUCAUCUGGAAAAACAAGAGACCCAGAAUAGCUAAAGCAGGUCCUUAUCAGCAAGAGUGAAGCAGGUGGCAUCACUAUACCAGACCUUAAUCUACACUACAAAGCAACAGUAACAGCAGGAUAUUGGCACCAAAACAGACUGGUACACCAAUGGUACAGAAUAGAGGACACAGAGACUAACCUACAAAAUUACAAUUAUCUUACAUUAAACAAAGGUGCCAAAAACAUGCUGGAGAAAAGAUAUCCUCUUCAACAAAUGGUGCUGGGAAAACUGAAAAUCCAUAUGCAACAAAAUGAAAUUAAACCCCUAUCUCUCACCAUGCACAAAACUCAACUCAAAGUGGAUCAAGGACUUACAAAUACAACCAGAGACCCUAUGUCUACUAGAAGAAAAAGUAGGCCCUAAUCUCCAUCAUAUGGAAUUAGGCCCCAACUUCCUUAAUAAGACUUCUGUGGCACAAGAAUUAAAAUCAAGAAUCAAUAAAUGGGAUGGAUUCAAACUAAAAAGUUUCUUCUCAGCAAAAGAAAAAUCUGUGAGGUGAAUAGAGGGCCUACAUCUUGGGAGCAAAUUUUUACUACUCACACAUCAGAUAGAGCAUUAACCACUAUGGUAUAUAAAGAACUCAAAAAGCUAAACACCAAAAAAACAAAUAACCCAAUCAAUAAAUGGGCCAAGGACCUGAACAGACACUUCUCAGAAGAAGAUAUACAAUCAAUCAACAAAUACAUGAAAAAAAAUGUUUAUCAUCACUAGCAAUUAGAGAAAUGCAAUUCAAAACCACUCUAAGAUUUUAUCCCACUCCAGUCAGAAUGGCAGCCAUUAUGCAUACAAACAACAAUAAGUGUUGUCGAGGAUGUGGGGGAAAAGGUACACUCAUACACUGCUGGUGGGACUGCAAAUUGAUGUAGCCAAUAUGGAAAGCAGUAUGGAGAUUUCUUGGAAAAUUGGUAAUGGAACCACCAUUUGGCCCAGCUAUCCCUCUCCUCGGUCUAUACCCAAAAGACUUAAAAACAGCAAGCUACAGGGACACGGCCGCAUCAAUGUUUAUAGCAGCACAAUUCACAAUAGCUAGACUGUGGAGCCAACCUAGAUUCCCUUCAAUAGAUGAGUGGAUAAAAAAAAUGUGGCAUAUAUACACAAUGGAAUAUUACUUAGCAAUAAAAGAGAAUAAAAUCAUGGCAUUUGCAGGUAAAUGAUUGGAAUUAGAGAACAUAAUGCUAAGUGAAGUUAGCCAAUCCUAAAAAUACAAAUGCUGAAUGUUUUCUUUGAUACAAGGAGGCUGAUUCAUAGUUGGGUAGGGAGAGGGAGCAUGGGAGGAAUAGACAAACUCUAGAUAGGGUAGGGGGGUUGGAGGGGAAGGGAUGGGGCAUGUGGUUAUAAAUGUGGUGGAAUGUGAUGAUCAUUAUUAUCCAAAGUACAUGUAUAAAGACACAAAUUUGUGUGAAUAUACUUUGUAUACAACUAGAGAUAUGAAAAAUUGUGCUCUAUAUGUGUAAUAAGAAUUGUAAUAUAUCCCAUCUAAUUCAAAUGUAUGAUAUGUCAAGGUCAUUGUGCUGUCAUGUGUAACUAAUUAAAACAAAGUUUAAAAAAAAUAUAAAUAAAUAAAUUUUUUAAAAAAUUUUAAAAAAUGGAAAAGAAAGCUAAAGAAAGAUAUAAUGUGACAUGGUCAUUUCUUAAAAUUAUAUGGAUACAUGUGUUUGACAUGGAAAUGUGCCCCCAAAAUGUACUGUGAAUAAAAAUUAAAUCGUAAAAAAUAUUUUUACAACAGUAAAUGAUAAAACAAAGUACACAUUUCAUUUAAAUUUAUGCAAAAAAAAUUGAGCAAAGAAUCCAAAUACACAUUCUUCCUAAGUUAUGCUGUAAGUUAUUGAUGAAGCCAGAAUUUGAAAUAUGAAACUUUGAAGCCUGUCUCUCAGUCAGGUGCCCUUUGCUACAUAGCUGCAAAAUAGCCAUGGUUUUAUCUUGUGAAUUAUCCUCUUUCUGUUGUUUAUGCAUUGGAGGAAUCCUUUCCUUUUUCAAUAUCUAAUCCAGAUCAAUGAAAAUGUUUGUAACUGUUUCAAAGAUCAGUCACUAUCAAGUAGGAGAAGAAGCAACUAAAUUAGACAACGG
rnacentral:lncRNA from 1 species